AACGAACGCUGGCGGCAGGCUUAACACAUGCAAGUCGAGCGCCCCGCAAGGGGAGCGGCAGACGGGUGAGUAACGCGUGGGAAUCUACCCAUCUCUACGGAAUAACGCAUGGAAACGUGUGCUAAUACCGUAUACGUCCCUCGGGAGAAAGAUUUAUCGGAGAUGGAUGAGCCCGCGUUGGAUUAGCUAGUUGGUGGGGUAAAGGCCUACCAAGGCGACGAUCCAUAGCUGGUCUGAGAGGAUGAUCAGCCACACUGGGACUGAGACACGGCCCAGACUCCUACGGGAGGCAGCAGUGGGGAAUAUUGGACAAUGGGCGCAAGCCUGAUCCAGCCAUGCCGCGUGAGUGAUGAAGGCCCUCGGGUUGUAAAGCUCUUUCACCGGUGAAGAUAAUGACGGUAACCGGAGAAGAAGCCCCGGCUAACUUCGUGCCAGCAGCCGCCGUAAAAC
rnacentral:rRNA from 1 species